UACGUAGGGGGCAAGCGUUAUCCGGAUUCACUGGGUUUAAAGGGUGCGUAGGUGGGCUGGUAAGUCAGUGGUGAAAUCUCCGGGCUUAACUCGGAAACUGCCAUUGAUACUAUCAGUCUUGAAUACCGUGGAGGUCAGUAGAAUAUGUCAUGUAGCGGUGAAAUGCUUAGAUAUGACAUAGAAUACCAAUUGCGAAGGCAGCUGGCUACACGAAUAUUGACACUCAGGCACGAAAGCGUGGGGAUCAAACAGG
rnacentral:rRNA from 1 species